rnacentral:rRNA from 1 species
AACGAACGCUGGCGGCAUGCCUAACACAUGCAAGUCGAACGAGACCUUCGUGUCUAGUGGCGCACGGGUGCGUAACGCGUGGGAACCUGCCCUGAGGUUCGGAAUAACUCCCCGAAAGGGGUGCGAAUACCGGAUAAUGUCUUCGGACCAAAGAUUUAUCGCCUUUGGAUGGGCCCGCGUUGUAUUAGCUAGUUGGUAGGGUAAAAGCCUACCAAGGCGACGAUCCAUAGCUGGUCUGAGAGGAUGAUCAGCCACACUGGGACUGAGACACGGCCCAGACUCCUACGGGAGGCAGCAGUGGGGAAUCUUGGACAAUGGGCGAAAGCCUGCUCCAGCAAUGCCGCGUGAGUGAUGAAGGCCUUAGGGUUGUAAAGCUCUUUUACCCGGGAUGAUAAUGACAGUACCGGGAGAAUAAGCUCCGGCUAACUACGUG